UUUUUUUUUGUUGGCAGAGAGGUAUUUAAUGACAGCAAAAGCAAGAUCAGGGGUUGAUUUUUUUUUCUUUUUCUCUCUCUCUCUCUCUCUCUCUCUGUGUGUGUGUGUGUCCCAAACGCUUUCUUUUGAUAGAUGUCAGGCGAAGGCAGAGGCAGAGGCAAAGGCAGACAGACAGACAGACAGACAGACAGACAGACAGACAGUGGGCAAAAUUGUCUUACACGAGUUGAGCAGGAGGGCGAACCAGGAAAAGAGGUGAACUGUUGACGACGGUGAGGAAGGUAUGUGCGAUGAAAACGGCGACAGAGCAUCGCCCAAAGCCAAGGAGCUGAAAGUCCAAUCGCUCUGUGUUUUUUUAAAAAAAGUUAUAAACUAAACUCUUAGUUUUGAAACUGACCCCCCAAAAAUUUUUUUAACAGAGAGCCACCCAACAGCACGAAGGAGUAAACACAAAACUAUGCCAACAGAAAGCCAAUAAGCAUUGCAGUUUACUUUGAAGCUAAAUAACAUUUAGUGCUGUAAACUCCGACUGUGAAUUUCGCAGUAACUAACUCUCUGCUAAAACAAUGCUGUGUCUGCACUCUUGUGCUGAUGAUUUGCACUUUGAUGCAUUAAAAGAAAGCAGUAUACAACCUCAGGAGGGAUUCGAUUAUAUAUGUCGCAGAUAAAGGAUCAUUGAAAGACGUGCACAAGUAGAUGGGGAAGUGCUUCACUGGUAUUUGAUCUUAUAUGAAGAAAUAAAUGAGUUGGGACUGUGAUGGGGAUCUCUCCAUUGGAAAGACCAGAGCUGGCAGGUUUCCCUUUUUUUCCAACAUCUGGUCAGUCUUGAAGGAUGAUUCCCAUUCUGCUGAUGAGACACUGAUAAGGAUAAUUGGCUGACAUCAGUCACAUGUUCAGAG